GAGUUUGAUUCUGGCUCAGAUUGAACGCUGGCGGCAUGCUUUACACAUGCAAGUCGAACGGCAGCGGGGAAGUGCUUGCACUUCUGCCGGCGAGUGGCGAACGGGUGAGUAAUGCAUUGGAACGUACCGGGUAAUGGGGGAUAACUUGCCGAAAGGUAAGCUAAUACCGCAUACGCUUUAAGAAGGAAAGCGGGGGAUCGUUUGACCUCGCGUUAUCCGAGCGGCCAAUGUCUGAUUAGCUAGUUGGUGGGGUAAAAGCCUACCAAGGCAACGAUCAGUAGCGGGUCUGAGAGGAUGAUCCGCCACACUGGGACUGAGACACGGCCCAGACUCCUACGGGAGGCAGCAGUGGGGAAUUUUGGACAAUGGGCGCAAGCCUGAUCCAGCCAUGCCGCGUGUCUGAAGAAGGCCUUCGGGUUGUAAAGGACUUUUGUACGGGAAGAAAAAGUUGUGGCUAAUACCCAUGACUGAUGAC
rnacentral:rRNA from 1 species